rnacentral:snoRNA from 1 species
UCCAGCGGUUGUCAGCUAUCCAGGCUAGUGUGAUGCCUGUGAUUGUGUUACACUGUUGGAAGAGUAAGCACUGUCUUUAGUGAGGUUUGGCUGCAAGCACUGUUUUGGUGUUGUCGCUAAGUACCUUCAGGCAGUGUUUUGCACCUCUGAGAGUGGAGUGACUCCUUCUGUGGAGUUGGUCCUAGUCUGGGUGCAAACACC